rnacentral:tRNA from 1 species
GCCUUUGUGGUGUAAUGGUCAGCACAUUCGCAGUGAGUUCCAGAGGUCCGGGGUUCGAGUCCCAGCGAGAGCA